AGUGAGUGUUUCUAAACGUGUGUCUGACAUUUCAGGACAAGUCACUAGACUUGAGUGUAAGGUGGACGGUCUAGCCUCAAGACAAUUGUCUGUGUCGUCGAGUGGUGGUAGCAACAUAAAUCCAGAGGCAAUCCAGUCUGUGCCCCAGUCAGACUUUUUGACGGACGAAGUUGUAAAGACAUUAUUUCUAUAGUCCAAGGGAUCAGGGCACUUCACCUGUAAGUUAGUAGAGGUAAUUUUUUCCGGAACUGUUUGGGCCCGACAAUCUGCGACUGAAAUAUAACUGGAAUGGGUUUCAUGGUAAAGAAGAGCUCGAACCGUCCAAGAAAGAGAUUGUCAAGAGAUAUUUAAACUUUUUUCUUCCCGGAGUCUCAGACACCAUCAGCCUGGCCUAUGUUAGCUGGAAGAGUUAAUGAGAGACUGCGACGACCAGUCAGCAAAACAGCACGACAACAAGACAGUUUCAUCCCGCCACCACUGGGCUGUAGCUCUCAAAUUUAGAGAACAAAAAUUGCCUUUGCCACAAAUGUUAUCAUAUGAUAAAUUUAUUCUAUCAAACAUAUUUGAAAAAAAGAGUAUCGCAUUUCAACUUUUUUUUCAAAUAUUGGCUAUACAAUAGGCCAAGAAAUUACCUUUUUUUAACAUUUACAAUUUUUACAACACCUAGAUAAGGGAUCCUUUAGAUCAAUUUCAUCACUCGUUCCCAAAGUAAUACUAGUCUAGCCAUACAAGAGUCAAUACAGAGGCUGAGAGGCAACCCUGUCAGUUGUGUGGACUUCUUGUCUAUGCUAGGAACCAAAUGUUUCCAGUUGGUCAGUGAUCACUUGACUGAAUUAUUGGAACUUUUCCUGGACUGGCAAUGCUAUGGCUUGAGUGGAGCUUCAUGCCCAUAUGAAUGGUUCAAUUAGUGAAUUAACAAUGGGUCAGCUUGUGGCAGGCAUGUCUACAUCAUAUAAACCAGACUCCCUUAAAUUAAAAAAAGGUGAAACUGGAACAUUGAAAGAGGUGUUCAAGUUAUUCAGACAGAUUCAUGAUGUUAUAAAUAAUGAGAGUAAGUCUUUUAAAUUAUCUGAUAUGUUUCAGGUAACAUAUGAUGUAUGUUUCAG